rnacentral:misc_RNA from 1 species
AUCACGAUGGCGAGUACAACUGGAAAAGUCUCCAGUGUAUUUAGGACGGGAUUAUUUAAUGGAAAAGUGGCGAUUGUAACCGGUGGCGGCACUGGUAUUGGUCGUGCAAUUACACAAGAGCUUCUGUUUUUAGGUUUGGAACCACAUCUACUCUUAACUAUCGAAUCAAAGUGGAAAUUAAUAAGAUUAUCUCUGAUCAAGUUGAUCUUGCGGUAAAAAAGAAUUCUUACAGAAUCUUCAUGCUUUAAAAAUUAAAUGUUUAGACCAUGCCACAAUUAACUUUUAGGAUGUAAAGUAAUUAUCGCGUCAAGGAAUGAGCAGAGACUUGCUUCUGCUGCAAAUGUGAUUAGAAAUCAAAUUCCUAGAGACAGCCCAGCUGAAAUUGCUGACAUUCAGUGUAACAUACGGAAAGAAGAACAGGUUCAGAGACUAAUUUCUGACACAAUUAAGAAGUUUGGAAAAAUUGAUUUCCUUGUCAAUAAUGGAGGAGGGCAGUUUCCAGGUCCUGCAUCAUCUUUUAGUCUUAAAGGAUGGAAUGCUGUCAUCGAAACAAAUCUGACAGGGACAUUUCUAUGCUGCAGAGAAGUUUAUAAUCAGUGGAUGGGUGAACAUGGUGGUGUGAUCAUUAAUAUUGUUGCUGAUUUUUGGAAAGGAUUCCCAGGAAUGAGUCAUACUGGAGCCGCUCGUUCAGCAGUGGAUAAUCUGACUAAAUCCUUGUCCAUAGAGUGGGCCAACUCUGGAGUUCGUGUCAAUGCAGUUGCCCCAGGCACGGUCUAUUCUGAGACAGCUGCUGCAAACUACAGUGAUAAAGGAUUAUUUAGCCGAGCCAUUCCCUCUAUCCCAGCUAAACGAUUAGGAACCCCUGCUGAGAUUUCAGCAGCUGUAUGCUUUCUGUUAUCGCCUGCUGCAGCUUUUAUCUCUGGAGAAACACUGAAAGUUGAUGGUGCAGCUAGUUUGUAUAGUACCGCUGGCUGGGAAAUCCCAGAUCACAAGAAUAUACCUGCAUAUGACUGGGAAACAGAUGAAGAUGAAAGGAAACCAAAACCAAAGCUUUAAUAUACUGUAACAGCAACGGAUUUCACACUCUGAAAAAAAAUUGGGAAAAGGUGUCUUUCCUAAUUGAAUAACUGUGAUUUGAAGUGUUCAAUAGUAUUAGUCCAUGUAACUUUUGGAUGAAAUUAUAUAUACAUUUUAUAACCAGUGACUAAGUGUAAGUGUAACUCUAUAAAGAUAAAUGUACAUGUUCAUUCUGUUAUUUUAAUUUAUAUGCAUGAAUUGAGUGAAUGAUUUUAAUUUUUGAAUGUUGCACAUACAUGUAUUAUCUUGCAUUUGCCCAUGUUACUCAGUGAUUAUUAAAUCACUACUUUGGCUGUACUUCUAAUGUUUAGUUAGUGAGAAUUAUUUGACAGCUAGCAAUUUGUGUGGGGCAACGGUUACAGCUCAUGUACCAGGGUAACUGUAAAUGCUUGCACUAAUUAAAUGGUAAUACUUUUGGACAUGUUGUCAUUAAAAUUUUUAUACAGAC